GAUGAACGCUAGCGGCAGGCCUAACACAUGCAAGGUCGAGGGGCAUCGCGGUGCAGCAAUGCACUGGCGGCGACCGGCGUACGGGUGCGUAACGCGUAUGCAACCUGCCCCGCACCGGGGGAUAGCCCGCCGAAAGGCGGAUUAAUACCCCAUGGUCCCGGGGGCCCGCAUGGGCAUCCGGGUAAAGCCUUGGCGGUGCGGGAUGGGCAUGCGUGCCAUUAGCUGGCUGGUGGGGUAACGGCCCACCAGGGCAACGAUGGCUAGGGGGUCUGAGAGGAUGGUCCCCCACACUGGUACUGAGACACGGACCAGACUCCUACGGGAGGCAGCAGUGAGGAAUAUUGGUCAAUGGGCGGAAGCCUGAACCAGCCAUGCCGCGUGCGGGAUGAAGGCCCUACGGGUUGUAAACCGCUUUUCCCCGGGAAGAAUAAGCCCCCCGCGGGGGGUGAUGCCGGUACCGGGGGAAUAAGGAUCGGCUAACUCCGUG
rnacentral:rRNA from 1 species